UCUUAUCCAGAGAGGUGGAGGGAAAAUGGCCCGAUGAAACCCGGCAACCAGUAGAAAUUUUGCCAAGGUGCCAAUUCCUGCAAGUUGACUUUGCAAGAUAAGA
rnacentral:ncRNA from 1 species